CAUUUGGUGGCUUAGUGAUUAGAGCAUCUACCUCAGAUGCAGGAGGUCACAGGUUUGAACCCUGGCUGAGUCA